CGACCGGUGCACGGGUGAGUAACACGUAUCCAACCUGCCGAUAACUCGGGGAUAGCCUUUCGAAAGAAAGAUUAAUAUCCGAUAGGAUAUCAAGAUCGCAUGAUCUUGAUAUUAAAGAAUUUCGGUUAUCGAUGGGGAUGCGUUCCAUUAGUUAGUUGGCGGGGUAACGGCCCACCAAGACGACGAUGGAUAGGGGUUCUGAGAGGAAGGUCCCCCACAUUGGAACUGAGACACGGUCCAAACUCCUACGGAAGGCAGCAG
rnacentral:rRNA from 1 species